rnacentral:snoRNA from 1 species
AAAAAAUCACCGUUGCCUCUUAAGAACGGAUCUCUCGUAAAAUUCAGGGAAAUCACUGCAUUGUUUUUGGGUGAACCUCUGGACUUGUAAGUACCAAAAGUUUCAGUAAAUGAUGGAACAUUU